AUCCUUGUGUAGUUUGUACGUGUGAUGAUCGGGUGUUUGCACGUAUGUGUGAGAUGUGUCACCCCUGGACCUUGUUACGACAUCAGCACAUGACCCGUCUACA